GGAGGGGUGGCAGAGCGGUUGAAUGCGGCGGCCUUGAAAGUCGCUAGGGGCCCUUCGGUCCCUCGGGGGUUCGAAUCCCUCCCCCUCCG
rnacentral:tRNA from 1 species